UACGUAGGGUGCAGGCGUUAAUCGGAAUUACUGGGCGUAAAGCGUGCGCAGGCGGUUUGCUAAGACAGGUGUGAAAUCCCCGGGCUUAACCGUGGAACUGCUUGGCAUACUGGCGGUCUUGAGCCACUUAGGGGCAACCGGAACAAAUGGUGGAGCGGUGAAAUGCGUAGAUAUCAUUUGGAACGCCAAUGGUGAAAACAGGUUGCUGGGAGUGUGCUGACGCUGAGACACGAAAGCCAGGGGAGCGAACGGG
rnacentral:rRNA from 1 species